rnacentral:rRNA from 1 species
AACGAACGCUGGCGGCAGGCUUAACACAUGCAAGUCGAGCGCCCCGCAAGGGGAGCGGCAGACGGGUGAGUAACGCGUGGGAAUCUACCCAUCUCUACGGAAUAACGCAUGGAAACGUGUGCUAAUACCGUAUACGUCCUUCGGGAGAAAGAUUUAUCGGAGAUGGAUGAGCCCGCGUUGGAUUAGCUAGUUGGUGGGGUAAAGGCCUACCAAGGCGACGAUCCAUAGCUGGUCUGAGAGGAUGAUCAGCCACACUGGGGCUGGGGCACGGCCCGGACUACUACGGAAGGCAGCAGUGGGGAAUAUUGGAGAAUGGGCGCAAGCCUAAUCCAGCCAUGCCGCGUGAGUGAUGAAGGCCCUAGGGUUGUAAAGCUCUUUCACCGGUGAGGAUAAUGACGGUAACCGGAGAAGAAGCCCCGGCUAACUUCGUGCCAGCAGCCGCCGUAAAAC